UAGAAUUCGUCCUCGAAUUCUUAGUUGUCCAAUGGCUCAGCUUCACGACAUGUUCAUCCCCUUGAUGAAAAUUUCUCCUUGGAUCACUUGUCUCGCGGUCUUGAUCACUUGAUGUGCUUCUUUAUCGGUUUGCCCUUGGUUUCCUCCUUUCGGUUUCUCUGGUCUCCACCCAAACUUCUGGUUCUGAACUCACUCCGUCUUGAUACAUCUCAAAGCAUUCCUUUAGUCUUGAAUCCGUCCUUCACUUCUUGAUUUCCCAUGCUUCACUCAUUCUUAACUCAUCUCCAUAUCGCUUCACUCUCAUGCUGAAUUCAUCUUCAUAUUGCUUCACCGUAUCUACUGCUCUCCCAUGAGUCUCCUUCUCAAAGUUGCCACAAAACUCUUCACUUGAUGAAUACUGAAUCGUCUUCUUGCAUUUACUCUGCCAUAACGCGC
rnacentral:lncRNA from 1 species